CCUACGGGUGGCAGCAGUAGGGAAUAUUGCUCAAUGGGGGAAACCCUGAUGCAGCAACGCCGCGUGGGGGAUGAAGGUUUUCGUUUUGUAAACUCCUUUUAGUAGAGAAGAUAAUGACGGUAUCUAACGAAUAAGCACCGGCUAACUACGUGCCAGCAGCCGCGGUAAUACGGAGGGUGCAAGCGUUACUCGGAUUCACUGGGCGUAAAGGGCGCGUAGGCGGGAUAGCAAGUCAGAUGUGAAAUCCUAUGGCUUAACCAUAGAACUGCAUUUGAAACUGUUAUUCUAGAGUAUGGGAGAGGUAGGUGGAAUUCUUGGUGUAGGGGUAAAAUCCGUAGAGAUCAAGAGGAAUACUCAUUGCGAAGGCGACCUGCUAGAACAUAACUGACGCUGAUGCGCGAAAGCGUGGGGAGCAAACAGGAUUAGAUACCCCGGUAGUC
rnacentral:rRNA from 1 species